ACAUACGUACAACAUACGGUCUACUUUCAUACGUGAACCUAUCUGAGCUGUUUAUCGGGGUGAGGGCUAAAAAUCUGAAGCAAGAGAAAGCUUGAGGAGGCGGAGUUUCUCCUCCGCUGCGCUCUCUCUCUCUCUCUCUCUCUCUCUCUCUCUCUCUCACAAGUUUGUGGACAGAUUUUAAAUUGAGGAAAUUUGGUGCCAUUAAUUUGGUGACAGAAUUAAUUCAAAACACACAGUUUCUUUAUUUCAACCGGAAUGAACACACUGCUUUGAUGUUAAAAUGAGGGCGACCCUUUUAAACGGACUACUCUUGCUCUUUGUCGGACUCGCACAACGGGCUUCAUUCUAUGGUGAUGGAUUUGUGCAGUUAAAAGGGACAGAGAAGUCUAGCCGUAACACACUGCACAUUCGCUUCCGCACCUCCAGACUGAGCGGCCUGCUUUUCCUGGCUGCAGGGCAGAAUGAUUUCCUGCUGCUGGAGAUGAAUGCUGGCAGACUGCAGGUGAGUCAUGUGUGGCUACUUCACCUUCGGCAAUGUUUAGAUCUACCACAAUAAACCAACAUGUGGAAACAUGUCAAUUCCAUUUAGGCUCGAAAAGAAUCAGAUUGAAAGAAAAAAAGUGAUAAUGAAAUUGUAUUUCUAAAAGCUUUUUAUCAAGACUGACAAGCAUAUUGUGUUGAGACAUAAACUCAACACAUAGAAUAUCACCAUCCUCUUCAGGUAAGGUAUACAUUUUGCAUUAACUUAAUGGCUGACGAAUGUGAGCUUAGUUGACAUUGUGAGAAAAAUGGAUACUCCCAAUAUCCAGUUUGAAAACUUUGCAUGAAUUUCUGAAAUGCAUUUUGGUUUUUACAUUUCACUCGGUGGCAUUCACAUAAGAUUCCUUUUAUAGAGGAUAUCUUUGGGCUACAAUAGAACAGACUGUGCUGAACAUUGAGGUCUGAUUAGCUUGUAAUUGAAAAUAUCUUUGAACUUUCACAUUUAUCUGAGGUCAUUAAAUUGUGCAUUUUCUAUCCUUUGGCUGUGACCCUCUCUGAAUACAUCACAGAAUAAAAUUGCUUUCAGUUGAGAAAAAGCUAGAAAUAUUCAGCAAGUUUUUCUUAGCUGUCUGAUGUAAGGACAGUAACAUUUUAUGUUAAGAGUAAAAUGUAUUUGCUGUAGACAAAUGCUACUGAUUACACUUGUCUAUUUUCAACAUGGAAUAGAAUUUCAUGAACAUAGUGCUAGUUUUCAUUUGUUAGUAUAACUCAGGGGUUUUCAAACUUUAUGAUA
rnacentral:lncRNA from 12 species